ACAGAGGGGGCGAGCGUUGUUCGGAAUUACUGGGCGUAAAGGGCGCGUAGGCGGCCUGCUAAGUCGGACGUGAAAUCCCUCGGCUCAACCGAGGAACUGCGUCCGAUACUGGUUGGCUUGAAUUCGGGAGAGGGAUGCGGAAUUCCAGGUGUAGCGGUGAAAUGCGUAGAUAUCGGGAGGAACACCUGAGGCGAAGGCGGGCUACUGGGCCGAUACUGACGCUGAUGCGCGAAAGCCAGGGGAGCGAACGGGA
rnacentral:rRNA from 1 species